UACGUAGGUGGCAAGCGUUGUCCGGAUUUACUGGGCGUAAAGAGCGCGCAGGCGGCUGAUUAAGUCGAAUGUGAAAGCCCCCGGCUCAACUGGGGAGGGUCAUUCGAUACUGAUCAACUUGAAGGCAGGAGAGAGAAGUGGAAUUCCCGGUGUAGUGGUGAAAUGCGUAGAUAUCGGGAGGAACGCCAAAGGUGAAAACAGGUUGCUGGGGUUGUGCCGACGCUGAGACACGAAAGCCAGGGGAGCAAACGGG
rnacentral:rRNA from 1 species